CCUACGGGUGGCAGCAGUGGGGAAUAUUGCACAAUGGGGGCAACCCUGAUGCAGCAACGCCGCGUGAGUGAAGAAGUAUUUCGGUAUGUAAAGCUCUAUCAGCAGGGAAGAAUAUAGACGUUACCUGACUAAUAAGCCCCGGCUAACUACGUGCCAGCAGCCGCGGUAAUACGUAGGGGGCAAGCGUUAUCCGGAUUUACUGGGGGUAAAGGGCGGGUAGACGGCGGGGCAAGUCUGAAGUGAAAGGCAGGGGCUUAACCCCGGAACUGCUUUGGAACCUGCGAUGCUAGAGUGAUGGAGAGGCAGGUGGAAUUCCUAGUGUAGCGGUGAAAUGCGUAGAUAGUAGGAGGAACACCAGUGGCGAAGGCGGCCUGCUGGACAGUAACUGACGUUGAGGCUCGAAAGCGUGGGGAGCAAACAGGAUUAGAUACCCGAGUAGUC
rnacentral:rRNA from 1 species